rnacentral:rRNA from 1 species
CCUACGGGAGGCUGCCGUGAGGAAUAUUGGUCAAUGGACGAGAGUCUGAACCAGCCAAGUAGCGUGAAGGAUGACUGCCCUAUGGGUUGUAAACUUCUUUUAUAUGGGAAUAAAAUGUUCCACGUGUGGGAUUUUGUAUGUACCAUAUGAAUAAGGAUCGGCUAACUCCGUGCCAGCAGCCGCGGUAAUACGGAGGAUCCGAGCGUUAUCCGGAUUUAUUGGGUUUAAAGGGAGCGUAGGUGGAUUGUUAAGUCAGUUGUGAAAGUUUGCGGCUCAACCGUAAAAUUGCAGUUGAAACUGGCAGUCGUGAGUACAGUAGAGGUGGGCGGAAUUCGUGGUGUAGCGGUGAAAUGCUUAGAUAUCACGAAGAACUCCGAUUGCGAAGGCAGCUCACUGGACUGCAACUGACACUGAGGCUCGAAAGUGUGGGUAUCAAACAGGAUUAGAUACCCCAGUAGU